rnacentral:rRNA from 1 species
GGGUGAGUAACACGUAGGUAAUCUGCCUUCGGGUGGGGAAUAACCUCUCGAAAGAGGGGCUAAUACCGCAUAAUGCAGCGGCACCUAAUGGUGAAUGGUUGUUAAAGCGGGGGAUUCUUCGGAACCUCGCGCCUGAAGAGGAGCCUGCGGCAGAUUAGCUAGUUGGUGAGGUAAUGGCUCACCAAGGCAACGAUCUGUAGCUGGUCUGAGAGGACGGCCAGCCACACUGGCACUGACACACGGGCCAGACUCCUACGGGAGGCAGCAGUGGGGAAUUUUGGGCAAUGGGCGAAAGCCUGACCCAGCAACGCCGCGUGAGGGAGGAAAUCCUUCGGGAUGUAAACCUCACAAGUAAGGGAAGAGCGGAGACAAGCUAAUACCCUGUCUCCUCGACGGUACCUUACGUAAGCCACGGCUAACUACGUGCCAGCAGCCGCGGUAAUACGUAGGUGGCAAGCGUUGUUCGGAAUUAUUGGGCGUAAAGGGCGCGUAGGCGGUCGGUUAAGUCAGCUGUGAAAGCCCGGGGCUCAACCCCGGAGGGUCGGCUGAUACUGAGUGACUAGAGUACGGAAGAGGUAGCUGGAAUUCCCGGUGUAGCGGUGAAAUGCGUAGAUAUCGGGAGGAAC